AUUGAACGCUGGCGGCAGGCCUAACACAUGCAAGUCGAGCGGAUGAAGAGAGCUUGCUCUCUGAUUCAGCGGCGGACGGGUGAGUAAUGCCUAGGAAUCUGCCUGAUAGUGGGGGACAACGUUUCGAAAGGAACGCUAAUACCGCAUACGUCCUACGGGAGAAAGCAGGGGACCUUCGGGCCGUUCGCUAUCAGAUGAGCCUAGGUCGGAUUAGCUAGUAGGUGGGGUAAAGGCUCACCUAGGCGACGAUCCGUAACUGGUCUGAGAGGAUGAUCAGUCACACUGGAACUGAGACACGGUCCAGACUCCUACGGGAGGCAGCAGUGGGGAAUAUUGGACAAUGGGCGAAAGCCCGAUCCAGCCAUGCCGCGUGUGUGAAGAAGGUCUUCGGAUUGUAAAGCACUUUAAGUUGGGAGGAAGGGCAGUAAGUUAAUACCUUGCUGUUUUGACGUUACCAACAGAAUAAGCACCGGCUAACUUCGUGCCAGCCGCCGCCGUAAAAC
rnacentral:rRNA from 1 species